UAAAGGUAUAUGAUGAAUCUCAUUUCUAAAUGGGUAAUUUGCGUCUGAAAUAUCUUUGAUGCUUUUUCACCUUGGAGAACUGAUGCCUUUU